UACGAAGGGGGCUAGCGUUGCUCGGAAUCACUGGGCGUAAAGCGCACGUAGGCGGAUUCUUAAGUCGGUGGUGAAAGCCUGGAGCUCAACUCCAGAACUGCCUUCGAUACUGAGAGUCUUGAGUCCGGGAGAGGUGAGUGGAACUGCGAGUGUAGAGGUGAAAUUCGUAGAUAUUCGCAAGAACACCAGUGGCGAAGGCGGCUCACUGGCCCGGUACUGACGCUGGAGGUG
rnacentral:rRNA from 1 species